CUGGCUCAGGAUGAACGCUAGCGGCAGGCUUAACACAUGCAAGUCGAGGGGCAUCGGGAGUAGCAAUACUUGCCGGCGACCGGCGCAAGGGUGCGUAACGCGUGAGCAACAUGCCCGUAUCAGGGGGAUAAUCCAUGGAAACGUGGUCUAAUACCCCAUAGUAAUUAUGUAAGGCAUCUUAUAUAAUUUAAAGCUUUGGUGGAUACGGAUUGGCUCGCGUGACAUUAGCUGGAUGGUAAGGUAACGGCUUACCAUGGCUACGAUGUCUAGGGGUUCUGAGGGGAAGGUCCCCCACACUGGAACUGAGACACGGUCCAAACUCCUACGGGAGGCAGCAGUGAGGAAUAUUGGUCAAUGGGCGAAAGCCUGGACCAGCCAUGUCGCGUGAAGGAAUGAAGGUCCUAUGGAUUGUAAACUUCUUUUGCAGGAGGGUAAAGUGAGCUACGUGUAGUUCAUUGCAAGUACCCUGCGAAUAAGCAUCGGCUAACUCCGUGCCAGCAGCGGC
rnacentral:rRNA from 1 species